GAAAGAUUAAGCUCCAAGUUCAAGUCAUUUCACCUGGUCUUGGUAAUAAGUUUCUUUUAGCAUUUACAGUGACCUCAGACAAGUGUUUCCAGUGAGCUUUCCUUGUUAACAAUUCAGCUUAUCUUUCCGUUUCCUAUAUUCCCCUGCCUCUGUUAGUGGUUAACACUCUUUCCCUCAGGGAGCCUAAUGAGGUUUUUAAUAUAAUCUAAAAAUAAAGCACUGAAGUGAAGUUGGUGACAAUUUGCGCCUGGUCUAAUUUGGCACCCUUCCAACCUGAGUAUUGUAAGGGAAGGAAAUUUACAAGAUUAAAUAGGAAAUGAAACAGCUUGAAUUUCAAACUAAAUUGUGUUUUCAGAGCUAUCCUUAAACUGAACAGUUGAAACUUUUAAAAAUAAUUGUUAUUUCCCUGUGCCCCCCACUUGAUAUGGGUAGAUUUUAAUGGGAAAAUUAUAACUCAGAUUAAGUAAAAAGCGAUUCCCUUUUCCCUGGUGUAUAUCUUAAGCAUUUGAAAUUAUUUAUUCUCUUACUGAAAUCAUAUGGAAGGAAUGUAGUUAGGGAAAAUUCUAACGUUUUGUUUAAAAUACAUGCGGACUCUAUAUCCUCCUAGCAUCUUGCUUCCUUCCCACUGUGAAAUGAGCAAGCUGUAAAAGAAAACACACGAUUCUAAGGGUGGGCUCUUGACACCUGAAGGGGGUUGAAAUUCCUUUCCUAUACAUGCAGAUGGAUCAGGGCAUCUGGCUGCCACAGCUCUGGUGUGUCCCUGACAUUCCCACUGCUGGGCCUCUAUCUCCACGACAACAAACAAAAUAAAAAACAAAGGUUGCUUGACUCACUAACGAAGAGACAGAGGCAGUGCAUGGGCGGCCCUUUCUGUCUUAUUUCACCAAAAGAUGACGCACAUCUGUGACCUUCACAGUUUUCCCACCAAACCUGUCGCCACUGUCAAUGAUUCCCUGGUGUCUGGGUGCCCGGGGAAGGCCGCAUGCUUCCGUGCCUCCUCGUACUGGUGAGGCAUCCGCCUGCCUCUCGGCCUGUCCCCACGGUCACUGAGUUUAGCCCAAAACAGGCCAUCGCUUCAGGCCCUCCGUAGCUGUUCUCUAUUCACGACUUCUCACGCUCCUCCCUGUUUGUAGCGAGGGCUUCUGUUUGGUUCUGGCCACGUGUUUUAGGCCCAGAAUGAAUGACAGGUGGCUCGUGCAACGGUGCUGUCUUCCCAUGUACUGGGGCCUCUUGGGCCCUCGUUUUCCUCAGACUGUCUCAGGAAUCAGCGAGACCCUGCUGCUCAUGUAGCGUCUCCUUACCACUAGCAGCAGCACAUUGUCAUCUCAGAUCCAUGUGAUCCGUACCCCAGGAAAAUAGGGGGAAAUGUUUCCAUUUUUUUUGUUCACUUGUGUGCUGCAAAGGUUGAUGUUGAAGGCAGAAACAGUGUUUUACUUUGAACGUGUUUAGGAUUAGCAACCUGGCCAGGCAGUGAUCUAAUCCACAUGUCAUAUAUUCUCAGUCAUUUCUUAGGGGAAAAAGCUAGAUUUCAAAGGAAUUGAGACACAGCCCAUCUAUAAAAAAUCCUUUUAGUUCCCUUCUGACAAAGGACCAUCUUAAAAAACUUUGGGGAUUGAAAAGAGAAAAAUCAUUAAUUAGCUGCAAGUGUAUAUUGAUUCCUCUCAGAGAAAUUGAAAUGAGCUCUUUGCAGGUGCCCAGUCCUACAAACCAUCAGCCUCCAGAACUCUCCUUUCACACAAGUGUUUUUCCGAUUCUAUGAUAACUAAUUAACCAUCAUUUGGUGAUUAAAAGAACAUAAAGUAAGAGUAUGAUUAAGUGUCCUUCAUUUUAAACUCUCUUAAAGAAGUGAUUAGGGAGAAGUACCUAUUGCAAGCCCUUCUGGUUCCAAAUGAAACCUCCAUCACCUGCUUUUCUGCCACAGGCAGGAUAAGUGCUAUACAUAGCAGCUGAGAGAGUGAGUCCCUUUAAAAUAACACACUUCCUUGUUGCCUGUUUAUGAUUUUGUUUGAAGCGGAUGCCUCCUGUAUCCAAAGGACGGAGCCUUUUGUAUUAGAGGCUUGACCUCCUCCAUGGAGUGGGCUGUUGCCCUUCUCAAGGCGAUCAUUUUUCGUUAUUUUUUAAGUAUAUAAAAGGAAGGCAGGCCACACAUAAUUUUAGAACUUCUCUUUAAGUCUUGUUUUCUCUCUCUCUCUCUGUCUCUCUCUCUCACACACUCUCCCCCCUUAAGAAGGAAAACAGGUCUAGGAGACCUUCUAAAUUAAGCUCUGGGAGAUAAUAGUAAUGAAAAUGUCCUUUAGAUAACUGCUCCAUGGCUUUCCUGGAGAUGUCAAACCAGAAUCUCGGUACCUUCUCGGCAAUGUGUUAAAAUGGACAGGUUUGAUUCAGAUUACACUGCACUAAUUGGCAUGUCAGCCUCAGGACUUGAAAAGGCAUUUGUUCACUGUUAGAUGCAUCUUUUAUAGUCUGUGGGUGAGUUGCAAAAAAGAGGUUAUAUAAAUUCUUACAAGCCUUCUUUUCCACUCAUUUUGUUCAGAACACGCUGAGAACAUGAUUCAUGGCCUCAUGGUUGUAUAAGAUAUAGGUUCACAGUAUGUUAUAUAUGACACAUGAGCCCCUACACAUUCAGAUGUCUUUGCAAGAGCCUGUCUCUCUAAGUAGUGAGAGAAUCCUCUCCUUCUGAGGAAAAGUUACCGAGAGUCCCUUAACUCUGGUAUCUACGAGGUACCUGCUUUAAAAUGUUGUAGGGGGGAUGACAGCCCACACGCUCAGGCUGGCUCUCUUCUCUCAACUCUGUAAUCUGUAAAUGUUCUUCCUGACUCUGUGAUGAAAGUUAAUGACCACGAUAAGCUAGAUGGUGUAAACUUGUAGAAAACUCUUCCUCAUUUAAAUUUGUUUUAAAGGGACUAGCAGCAUAACUUCUGUUUACUGUUUGACUUCAAGGGAGAGUCUACCUCUUAACGGUUAAUGUAUUUUUAAAGAAGAAGUGGAAUGUACUUUUAAGAAUCAAGCUAUGACUAUAUAUGCCUGCCUUCAAUUAGCUUGAUGCAUGAGAAGUUCAACGAUUCAAGAUGAUGCUUAGGAGACUUAUCUUAACUCCUGCAGCACAAUCAUAAAAAAUUAAAAAAUAAAAAAAAAUCCAGUCCAAGGAACAGAUCUGUCCAGGAGAUACACAUUAUACUGCAUAAUUUUAGAAAAGGGAGGUCGGGUGAAAAUCUAGUCUAGGUGUGGAAGAAACGACCUCUGCCAAUUUCUCUUGACAGCAGAGUUACUUGUCUUGACUUCCAGUAAUAGAAAUCCGGGCAAUUUGAUUAUCUGAUUUGCAAGAAACAUUAAUGGAAUUCUGGGGCAUUUGUCCUGUUUUAUGUGCAAAUGAAAGUCUAAAAAAUAUUAGAAGGGUAUUACAUUUUUCAGGAGCCUCCACUUUUUCAAUCUAAGAGAAUGAUAAGGGAGACCUGGCGUGAUGAAGUUUCAUUAGACAUAAUGAAGAAAGUGAAUAAAUAAAACCAAGAAUCCCCAUAUUUCUCGGUUUGUCCUUCAGGAUGCUCUGAGUAUAUAGGAAAAUGAUUUACUUUCCAAAUCUAGAAGGACUUUCCAGUAGCAUAGAUCAACUUUAAUUUGAUGGUCUGCACCAUCAGAAAUAACUAAUAUCUGUGUUCUUUCCUUUUAGAGUAUAAUCAAUUAUAGAUGCUAGGAUAUUUUUGGCUUCACAACAAAAGGAUUCAGAAGUUUAAUAAAAAGAAAAAUUUUAAACCUUCCAUCUUCUUUUAUUACGUUGAACAUUUUAAAUAGUAAGAUGAGGAUGUGUCAUCAGCAGAUACUGAAUUAAAACCAUGGAGUCGUAACAAAUUUAAGAAAAAAAGUAUUUAGUUUAUUACGAGCUCGUUUUCAAAUCUGUAUGGUGCCCAGAAUCUCAUCAAAACGCUUCAUAAAUGAAGCAAACCAAAUUCUGGGUAGCUUUCCAUGAACAGGAAUUCAAGUGCCCAGAAUUCAGCUAAUUAAUGGGAAACCCUAAGAUAGUAAUGGUCGUUUGAAAAAACCUUCUUUAAUUGGUAUUUUUAAACUGUAGAUCUUAAUGUUCUCCUUAAUCACUCAACAGAAACAAAACAUGCUGGUUUUGAUGCCACUUCUUGAUUCAGGAACAUUUCAUCGUUUCUGGAAGCAGAUUGUCUAAUAAAGGACUGUGAAGAAAAUCAUCUUUAAAAUAGCAGAUUGCACAGAGGGCCGAUAGUCUUUGCUCAGAACUGAAAUUGCCCAGGAAACUCCCAUGACCUCUUCAGUCAGGUUGUGGAGAAGCGGAGCACACCCCCUUCCCCAGGGCGAGUCCAGAGCCCAGUCGGGAACAUUGUCCGGCCCGUGGCAGCCGGUGACUUCACCUCGGGGCCUCGUUCUCCUGUCAUUUGUCCCUUAUCCAUUUUUCCAUCAAAUUUGUGCUUAAAUAGUCAGUGUUACCCCCUGAAAAAUGUUGAAAGCAAGGCUGAAGUUUGUGUACCUCUGCUGACUUUGCAUAGGAGGUUAUUACAUAGUUUAUGGAACUUUUUCUUAAUAUGGGCCAUGCACGUGAUGUCAGAGUGACGGGUCGAUUCGGUGCAGGCGGAGGGAGUUAUCGGCAGCUGGCUAGUCAGAGCAACUGAUUGGUGGCUCUAUUUUUAAACCAUUUGUUGUCUCGUGUAGACAGAGCUGUAUUGGCCUGGAAAAGAUUUUUCUUUUUUUACUCUCAUCCUGCUCAGUCUUUGCAUCAUUUCACCUUAUGAGUCAUUCACGUAAUUGUCAAUCAUGCCUCUGACCUUCUUAAGAAUUGAUGUCUUAAAAAAAAAAAAAAAAAAAAAAAAAAAAAAAAAAAAAA
rnacentral:lncRNA from 1 species